UUGGGAUUUAACAAAGACUGACUACACGGCCGACAAACAGCUGGAUCCGCCCCCAGAAGUCUGAAGCCAAGCUUCCCAAGUAGUCUGUGCUCUGACCAUAGCAACACAGACCCAGGAUGAACAUUCUGGAAACAUAGGCUCAGCACCUACCUGAGGGAUUAUGGAGGGAUCACAGACUGCAGAAAUGAUGAGGCUGAAGAAGUAGCUACAGAUGUGCUCUAGUUUGGAAAUGAGCACCUGAAUACUCCGGCCACUGUCACCUAGUGUGCAGCAAGAACACAGCGGGUCUGCUAUAACAUCUGCGAGUUAAGGUCAUCAGCAAGCCAACAGUUCAGAUGAAAAUUUUAAGCUCAGAAAAGAAACUAACCGACUGAACGCCAGCAAGGAAAUGCCUGUUGUCAAGGAUGAAAGACAAGAUAUCUCCCGUUUCCUAGAAGUGCUCUUCAUUAACUUUGUGAAAGCCAAACAAAGCUAAUAUGCAGUUUUUCAGUUAAUCUGAUUGCAACACACAGCAUGAGGUUCAGAGGUUUGAACAAGUGCAGCCAAGGCAUUAAUGUAACUCCUCUCUAAGACAUAAAUGAUCCCCUUUUGCAUAAUUCUCUUAAUACUACUGAUGAUUUACAGGACAACAAUCAGUUCUCUCUCCAGUAAAGCCCACGAGAAACAAUCACGCUCCAGCCCAGAGCCAUGUGGCCACACAGAUCCAGUGCUGAGACCAAGCUCACAAGACUUGCUGAAAAAUAAGGUAUAUUAGCUGAUUUUGCAAUGUCAUGGUGAUGUGUCUUUUGGGGAAGAACCUAUCUGUAUUCGGCCACUGAGCACAAAUACCUGAACAUACACGCUCCUCUUUGCAGAAAUGCAGAUGGAUAAAUAACUCAGGGAGGUCUGGAAACAUCCCAAGGCUCUUAGAAGCCAUGGUCAUAGCUCUUUAACUUUUAUAUGGACCGCACAGGAGUUCAUACAGAUUUCUGAACCGAUCCUUCUUUCAGUGAAGUCAACAGCGAAA